rnacentral:rRNA from 1 species
UACGUAGGUGGCGAGCGUUGUCCGGAUUUAUUGGGCGUAAAGCGCGCGCAGGCGGUUGUCUAAGUCUGCUGUGAAAUCUCCCGGCUCAACUGGGAGGGGGCGGCGGAGACUGGGCGACUGGAGGGACCUAGAGGCCGGUGGAAUUCCCGGUGUAGUGGUGAAAUGCGUAGAGAUCGGAAAGAACACCAACGGCGAAAGCACUCUGCUGGGCCGACACUGACACUGAGAGACGAAAGCUAGGGGAGCGAAUGGG